GACGAACGCUGGCGGCGUGCUUAACACAUGCAAGUCGAACGGUGAACCUCUUCGGAGGGGAUCAGUGGCGAACGGGUGAGUAACACGUGGGCAACCUGCCCCCGGCUCUGGGAUAACUCCAAGAAAUUGGGGCUAAUACCGGAUGUUCACCGCUUCCCGCAUGGGUGGUGGUGGAAAGGGUUUCCGGCUGGGGAUGGGCCCGCGGCCUAUCAGCUUGUUGGUGGGGUAGUGGCCUACCAAGGCGACGACGGGUAGCCGGCCUGAGAGGGUGACCGGCCACACUGGGACUGAGACACGGCCCAGACUCCUACGGGAGGCAGCAGUGGGGAAUAUUGCGCAAUGGGCGGAAGCCUGAUGCAGCGACGCCGCGUGGGGGAUGACGGCCUUCGGGUUGUAAACCUCUUUCAGCAGGGACGAAGCGCAAGUGACGGUACCUGCAGAAGAAGCACCGGCCAACUACGUG
rnacentral:rRNA from 1 species